AAAAGGCGACCGGCUUCGAGGCCUCCCCGCGCUUCGCGCUCUCCGCCUACCCGUACGGCAGCGCCCGUCCGCCUUCUCCCGUACUUUCCGCCUUCUCUCGCCCUGUUGCCUGUUCCGUCCGACAUCCCGUCCGCCUUCUCCCGUCCGAUAGGCAUGGCGCUCGCGGGCUCUUCCUCGCUCUCUCUUCUGCUUUACCUCUCUCUGGCUAUUAUAAAUACUAAACGGUUUGAUAUUUUUUUUUCCGUCUUUUUCUCUAAUCUUUCCUGAUUUUUAUCCCCUGUUUUUUAUCACUGUUGUUCCGUCGUUCUUGCCUUGUGGUGCGCAUAGGUGCGAACGAGUGCGGGCGGGCGAGCGGAGGAGGGCGCGUGCGGGAGCGGCGCGCGGGAGCGAGCCGGGGCGCGAGCGGGCGCCCGGAGCGGGUCAGUCGCAGGGGGCAGCAGGUGCAGGCUCGAGCGUGCGAGGGCGUGAGCGAGUGCCGGGCGCGAGUCGCUCGCAGCGAACAGCACGUGCGGGCGUGCCCGGGGGCCAGGCGCGGGUCGCUCGCAGGGGGCAGCACGUGCGAGCGCAGCGUGGGCGGGCAGCUCUCCUUCCCCCUCUUCCCCCACCCCUCUCCGAAGAAACAUUGAGUUAACAAACAACUGAGAGUGAUUGUUUUUAGUGUCACCCUUUCCUCAUUCUCUGUCUCUUGCACUCCAAGUGUUUGAUGAAUUGGCUCUGCAGUGGUGAAGUUGCUUUGGUCUGAGCUUAUUAUCUGGAGGAUUAUGGCUUUAUCUUUCAUAGCCGAAUCGGUGGCGUCGGCGAUCAUUGAGGCGUGCCCAGCGGCUGGCGGCAUGCAGGAAAAUCCUCCUGAAUUUGGAGAAAUUCAGAAGCUGGGUAAUCAAAAACCUCGAAAUUACUACGUAAAUGGAUCAAUGAGGGAUUGAGCACUUCCUUCGAUCUCUUCUCCACAUUCGAUUGCGGCCUUGAUGGGAGCUUCACAUGUAGAAGUGUUUGCUUCUAUACAGAGAGGUCGCGUCAGAGAAGAAUGAAAUCGCACAAGGAGAGAGAAGGAGCAAUUGCAGCAAUGUGUGGGAGAUUGAGAAAGAUUUGAUGAUGGAGAAUGCGGCUGAAGUAGGGGAUGAUCAGGGAUCGGGUUGGUUUGAAGUGAAAAGAAACACAGAAGCAGCUCAAAGCUCUCAAUACAAAAGGCUUCUAGGGCAAUGUUUUGUCUAUUGUUGGUUACUUUGCUUGCACCUGAAUGUGAUAAGAAUAUGAACCUUCUAUUCCCCGAGACUUUUGUCUUUCCUGCUUUCCUCACUUUGGAUGGCUUACUUCGUCAGCAACCGGUUGUUCUCAUUUGUGCUAGGAAUAGUUUCGGCGUGUGCAUGGUUUCUAGCUCGGUCAGCACUACUAAUCAGGAAGGCUUCGCUGCCAAUCUAAUAAUGCUCGAUCACUAGGGGAGUGUGAGCAAAAUUUAUUUAUUUAUUUCCAUACCUACUCAUGUUUGCUGCUCCUCUUCACUUUUCUCUUCUUUGUAAACAUUGUUUUCAUGUUUUUUUAAGCUAUUGGGAUUUCCCCAAACUGUAUCUUUGGCUUUGAUUUGUCAAAUAUGUGUUUUCGCCUUGCUUUUACCUGCA